GACGAACGCUGGCGGCGUGCUUAACACAUGCAAGUCGAACGGAGUGGCGAACGGGUGAGUAACACGUGGGUGACCUGCCCUGCACUUCGGGAUAAGCCUGGGAAACUGGGUCUAAUACCGGAUAGUGUGGGAUGGGCCAGGGGCCUAUCAGCUUGUUGGUGGGGUAAUGGCCUACCAAGGCGGCGACGGGUGGCCGGACUGAGAGGGUGGACGGCCACAUGGGGACUGGGACAGGGCCCAGACGGAUACGGGGGGCAGCGGGGGGGAAUAUUGCACAAUGGGCGGAAGCCUGAGGCAGGGCCGCCGCGUGGGGAAUGACGGUCUUCGGGUUGUAAACUCCUUCCACCAUCGACGCGGUAGAUGAAGAAGAAGCACCGGCUAACUACGUGCCAGCAGCCGCGGUAAUUC
rnacentral:rRNA from 1 species